CAGCCUGAAAUGAUGACUCUCUUAAAUUUCAUGUCUCUUCUCCGACAUUUUUCUGUGGAGAUAGCUUUUGCCUUAUUGAUCUGAUCAGGCUA
rnacentral:snoRNA from 1 species